AUUGAACGCUGGCGGCAGGCCUAACACAUGCAAGUCGAACGAGUGGCGGACGGGUGAGUAAUGUCUGGGAAACUGCCUGAUGGAGGGGGAUAACUACUGGAAACGGUAGCUAAUACCGCAUACCAUCGGAUGUGCCCAGAUGGGAUUAGCUAGUAGGUGGGGUAAAGGCUCACCUAGGCGACGAUCCCUAGCUGGUCUGAGAGGAUGACCAGCCACACUGGAACUGAGACACGGUCCAGACUCCUACGGGAGGCAGCCGUGGGGAACAUGUCACAAUGGGCGCAAUCCUUCUGCAGCCAUGCCGGGCGUAUGAAGAAGGCCCUCGGGUUGUAAAGUACUUUCAGCGGGGAGGCGUUACCCGCAGAAGAAGCCCCGGCUAACUCCGUGCCAGCAGCCGCGGUAAUAC
rnacentral:rRNA from 1 species